AGUUCCCGCUUCUCGUCCUCGGAGAGGGUGUUACAGUAACGGACCUCAUUGUCAUGGGGAGGUAACUGCUGCAGAAGCUGGCGGACUCUGUAUUUUUCACCAACACUAUUCAGGAAGGGAACCUUGUCCUCAGGAAGGCAGGAGAAGUAUUGGUGGACCUGUGGAGGAGAGUUUUGUAUUCAAAACGAGCCUAAUGUUCAUGAACUCCUGGACGGAUGAAGAAUUUCAGUCCAAUGAUGGAUCAAUUGUUCCACAAAUUAUGUUAACCCACUACAAAGGUACAAAGCAUAAGGACAUAGUUUGGACAGAAUUAUUCUGACAGAUGAAUGGCGACUAGAACUGUCCUACUAGGAUUAAUACCAUCACAAGGUACGUCAUUUGAUAAUACCGGAAUCAUCAUAGUGUGAGGUACUAUUACUGAAUCUUCAGAAGUGUCAACUGUUCUAUAUUUACCCACAGCGUUUUAUUACUUUUUACAUGUAUUAAAUAUAUAUAAUUAUAUAUAUGUAUCUUUAAAUAUAUGCUUUUGAACUUAAUUACUCUUCAAUCUUUUCAGUUACAAACCAUUAAAGCAUAAAAUCUAAUGAUGACAGUCCAUCUGCCGGAGUACUCAAUCAAAUCAAAUCACCCUCCCAUUUAGAAAAAACAAAAUUUCAUAAACAAGUUUAAAUGACAGACAACGUGGGGUAUAUUCCACAAAUCACUCUCUAUGUUACGAUCAUGACACAUCAAAAUUGACUGCUAACUCGAUUACUGCACAUUACCAUACUCUGAAAGAAACACACAGAUCACACUCUUUGACUAACGUUAUUAAUAAUUAUGCUAAACUUGUUUUUAGAUGGAUAGAUUUGUACAUCUAAUGACUCAAUCAAUGAAAAAAAAACCACGAAAUGUGAUUAAAUCACUACAAAAGAAAUCUCUGCAACAGCUGAAGUUCCAAUGUCUUCCAUUAUACCAAGUUUAAAAGAAAACUACCAAGCACAGUGAAAUCAAUGUUGAUUAUAAUAAAGGCAUUUGGAGACAGAAAUUCGAGCAGUCAGCACUCAUCUGCACGUGUACCCUGAUUUUUGUGCAGCUACAUUGUAAUGUGAUCUACUACACAGCAGAAUGAAUGGCCUGGUAGUCUUCCUCAUUUGAAUUUACGCUGAAUCAGCUAUAAAGUACAAAUCACUCCAAAUUCACAUUCCGUUAAAUCCCUAAAAUCAGAAUGACUCUCAACUUAAGCCGGCUCCAAGGCCCCCCCAUCAAAAAAGUACAAUUGUGUGUAUUGGGCCUUCCCUCUCAUACCUUUCUAGCCCUUUCAUAUCACAUAGUCGAUUGGGCACUUAGGGACCUUUUGACACUGGGUUUAAAAUUUUAUAGCCAAUUAUCCACCACAACUCCUUGCUUCCAUACCCUAAUCAGUCUACCCCCUAGUUGGAGUGAAAUCACUGAAUAAACAGCCUAUUGUUUAGACCUAUCCUCAUUUUAUGGCAAUGUUCACUGGCCGAUAACUAUCGACAUCUCUCAUCUACCCAUAAAAAAUAUCGAAAAUUGUAAACAAGUAAACACAGCCGUCGCAUUUGAGCCCCGCACCGUGUGACCACAUUUCUUAAUGCAUUACAAGAUAAUGUUUUACAGGUUUAAAUUGCUAGUCUUUUUUCAGCCAUGCUACCUAGAUAAGUCAAUUUUCCCUAUCGACUUUACUUUAUCUGAGGUUGUUCCUAACAUUGUGCUUCAAUUACAGUGUUUACAAGACAAGUUGAUUUCAUCUGAAUUAAUCGAAAGACAGUAUAUACAAAUUUAGCUAACUACAUGAUCAUGUUGUUUAUAGGGUUGUGUCUGAUCCACUAUUUGGACAUUCCAUGUUUACAGCAAGAGUCCCGGUACUGAAAUUAUCAUAAGUCAUUUACUGUUAGUCAGAAAAUCACAUGCCAAUACAAAAUUUCACAAAAUCAUUUGAUCAAAUAAAUUCAUGUAAAAUUAUGAUGAGCAACGCUCUAUUUUUACCCACGCAAGUGGCAUUAUACGCCCGUGACCUUUCAGUUCACCAUAGUUGAAAAUUACAAUGAUUCAGACAGACACACAGACACUCACAGCCAAAAACAAAAUGUUGAGGCCCGGAAUGUUGGGAGUCCGGGUACAGAAAUGAUGUAGACAUAUUACUCGUGGAAUGUGGAGACUGUAGUCAGUGAUGAGGCAGACAUGAGACUGAGAAUAAGGACAGAGACAGGUAUAUGUGUAAACAUUCAGAUGAAGCAUUCUUCCAUCCAUUGCCACCUGACAUCUGCACCAUAAAAUAGCUCUCUCCCUACUGAAGAAGGAGCAUCUAAAGCUAUCUCUCUCACUGCUCACUCGCAGUCGUUCUAGCACGUCUGAUGCACGGAAGCGCGACUGAUGCAGAGUGAGAGCAUUGGAGAGGCCCAGUAAGCUCUCAUUUAACACACCAGUAAUCAUUCACAGAUUUUCUUAAAUGUUCAGAAAAUCAGUGGUGGAAGAAAAGGAAAGGCAGAGGAGGUGUUCUGCGGUUUAAUGGGAUGGGAUAGAAAAUUGCUGAGGUUCACUUUUCUCUGCUGGAAAUAUGAAAGCUAAUAAAUUGUUCUUGGUGGGUUUAUAAUUAAAAGAUGCACAGAUAGUUUGAGGCAGAACUGCCAUUCCUCCUAUAAAAUUUUGACAGUAUGCAAAUGAUGUAUAGAGAUUUUAAUAUGAAUGAACUGCUCAAGGUCUAUCUCUCAUAACCCUAUGUUCAUUUGAUACAAUGUCUUUGUCCAUUUUUUUCUGCAUAAUCUGGUAGAAAUAAAAGUUACGGUAUUAAUCAUUUAUAUACUUAUAUUUCAGCUGCUUCUGGUAUUAUUACAGAGUCAGAUGAUAACAAAAACAUAAUGCAAUUAAAUUUGUCAUGCACAUUUGUGUGGAUAGGAUAUCAUACCUUUGUUAACACUCCAUUUGAAGCCCACACCCUUUCCCCCAAAAUCUUUUGCAUUAAACAACAUUAUAAGUAUUUGAGAAUUAAGCACUGAUAAUGCCCCAAUGUGUGGCCAUGUUUAACUGUGACCAGUUUCACCUUAAUGAUAGAAAUAUAUCAGUCAUAUACCCGAUUUUAUACAAGGUUAAAGAAUCUAGUUUGCUAUAGUUCAAAAUUAAGCUGUAGAGAAAUUGAAGAUAUGUCAGAUUUGCAGACCAAGAACAAUUAAGGUUUAAAACAGAAUGGUAAUUUAAUACACCCCAAGAUUUUCUGUAGAAACGAGAUUAUAGGAUGCAAGUGAAUUACACAUUGAAAUGCCACGAAAAAUUAUACAUCAUUGAGAAAUGUUAGGUAUAUAUCCUUAACAAGAUAGGGACUUUGGGAACUUCGCUCAGACAGAACUGUCAAGAUUUAAAAGUCUAAUUCUGUCCACUCCGCCACAAUACAAGACAUCCCGUCAUUAUGCACUUGAAAAUCAAUCUACGAUAUCUAUUUGGUCGCUUCCCAGAUCAAUAUGCCGUGACCUUUUUCUGACAUGAGAUAAAAAUCAAUACAUCUAUCAACGAUUAUUCCAUACCACCAAAUCUUGUCUACCCUAACAAUGCCACCCUUUAAAAAAAUAAAUACCCAAAUACUCCUGCUCCAAUGCUCGAGGAGUUUCUUGAUGAUUUCCAUGGAAGAUCACUAGUAGGGAAAGGCAACUCACAUCAAGUGUAAUGACCCCUAAUGAGUUCUAAUUUCAAAAAAUGUGGCUCAUGAAAAGUGAAAGCAUUCCAUUAAUGUGUGACACUUACAUUGAUUAUUACGCUAGACAAUACACACAGUCACUGGUUAUGUACACCAUGCAUGACCAAGCACCGCUACCCACAGUUAUAUCUAAAGGGUUGAUCUCGAACUUUAGGAUUGCAUCGCUCAGACAGAAUCAGAGUAUCUUAGUACCAUCUGACACAAAAUAUGUACCACUGUGGCACUGUCACAAAGGACCACCGAGAAUUUGUUGUCAAAACCGUAAAACACCUGGACCCAUCAAUGGGGGACAAACUCUGGACACUGUCCAAGUUAAGGACUAUAUGUGACACAAGAGGACAAAGCCUGCAAUAGCGACUCAUAUCUCAUUAGAUAGUUAGUAAGAUACAGAACUAAAUCUGCUGAUCAUACCCCGACUUCUACGAGAAGGUGGAUUACAAAUCUGGCCAUUUCCCAAGUUAGAUAGAUGACACACAUGUGGAUAGAAUAUGUACACUAACAGACAACAUGAUCCGGCGAUUAUCCGUACACCGAUAUACAUGUAUGUCAACAAGUCUUCAAUAGGUACACUUUUGUACCGAGUGUUUGAAGAUUCUCAACCAGCACAUUUACUUUGCAAUAGACAUCUUAACACCGAGAACACCCAGCCUUUAACCUCUCAUACUGUCACAGUUCUCUAUCAAUGUAGUGGUGAAUAUACGCCCGUGGUUUCAGUCAAUUAGCUCCCCCCUCGUGUCCUGAAGAAGUGAAGACCAAGAACUCUAUGAUUUUGUGGAGAUUAAUUGUUAAUUGGCUCAAUUACCAUUUUUACUGUAUAUUUCAGACAUUCAGUCAUAAGUAUUCAAUAAAUAAGCUUCUACUGAGUUCAGGAUUUAUGCAAAUGCCAUCAUCAUCUGCAACUUCAGCACUUAUUGGGUAACUAAUGCACUUGCAGAAGAAUCGUUUUCCUGUCUGAGUUUAGAAACACUUUCACGAGACGGUUCUUUUCUUGUCUACCAAGGCAAUAAAAGUGACUCAUCAAUCCUUGGAAAAUCAACAAAAUUUUGAAAAUUCAGAAAUUUCUACUGAGAGAGAUAUGUCAUUCUUCAAUGUAUCAAAAAACAUCAAAAAGCAAUUCUGUUUCAUUCGGGUGAGUAACCGCUUCAGGGUUUCCUGAAUUGAUAUCACACCACAGAACUAAAAGGGAAUUAAGAUUUCUUAUGCACUAAAAGCCAACACACGUAAUACAUAAAGUCUCAUAAGAUUGCCCUAGAAAAAGAUAAGAUAUAGUUCAACAUAAUUUUAUCAUACACCUCUAAAACUUUGACACUUUCAAGAACACCAAAGAUGUUAAUUGAAACAAAAACUACGUGAUCUUAUUCACACAGCUAAAAAUUUACUCGAAAUAGCGGAAUUUGCUUGUUCAUGUUUCCUGCUAUAUAUUCCUGUCAGUUUCCGUGAGAGAUAUAUAUAUUAUAAUAAAUAUUGUACCAUGUUGUUCCAAUGACCUGCUUCUGAAAAGCUCCAUCCUUGCCAACUCAUUGUCAGUUUCAAGUAGCAAAAUGAAAUCAAUCUGCGAUUUUAUUGUCCAAACUCUGACAUGCCCCAAUUUUCUCUUUCUUUUAAUGUAAUUGAGCAAACGACUCUAAAAAUCCUAAAUAUUUUUGUAUGUAUCUGAUUACUGACUUUCAUGUAUGUGUGGUAAUUGAAGGGGUGGUAUAAUUUUGUAAGAAAUGUUAGCUUCAAUGAUGCUCUGUUUCAUUGUGUCGUGUAGUAUUUGCCAGAUAUAUAAUCAUGCAGCAUUAACAUUUAUCAGUUCUAUUGAAAAAUUAUAAAUUUUUAUGUGGGUCAGCUAUGAUUCUAUGAUUGUCUAUGUAAUAUAAUGAAUAUUUCAAUUCGGCC